rnacentral:rRNA from 1 species
AUUGAACGCUGGCGGCAGGCCUAACACAUGCAAGUCGAACGGAGUGGCGGACGGGUGAGUAAUGUCUGGGAAACUGCUCGAUGGAGGGGGAUAACUACUGGAAACGGUAGCUAAUACCGCAUACUAUCAGAUGAACAUAGGUCGGAUUAGCAUGUGGGUGGGGAAAAGGCCUACCAAGGCGACGAUCCGUAACUGGUCUGAGAGGAUGAUCGGUCACACUGGAACUGAGACACGGUCCAGACUCCUACGGGAGGCAGCAGUGGGGAAUAUUGGACAAUGGGCGAAAGCCUGAUCCAGCCAUGCCGCGGGUGUGAAGAAGGUCUUCGGAUUGCAAAGCACUUUAAGUUGGGAGGCGGUACCAACAGAAUAAGCACCGGCUAACUUCGUGCCAGCAGCCGCGGUAAUAC